rnacentral:rRNA from 1 species
AUUGAACGCUAGCGGCAUGCCUAACACAUGCAAGUCGAACGAGUGGCGGACGGGUGAGUAAUUUCUUGAAACCUGCCUAAUGGCGGGGGAUAACUACUCGAAACCGUAGCUAAUACCGCAUACCAUCGGAUCUGCCCACAUGGGAUUAGCUAGUGGGUGGGGUAAAGGCUCACCUAGGCAACGAUCCCUAGCUGGUUUGAGAGGAGGACCAGCCACACGGGGACUGAGACACGGCCCAGACUCCGACGGGAGGCAGCAGUGGGGAAUAUGGGACAAUGGGCGAAAGCCUGAUCCAGCCAUGCCGCGUGUAUGAAGAAGGCCUUCGGGUUGUAAAGUACUUUUGGCAGAGAAGCGGUAUCUGCAGAAUAAGCACCGGCUAACUACGUGCCAGCAGCCGCGGUAAUUC